GAGGCACCACCAGGAGUGGAGCCUGCGGCUUAAUUUGACUCAACACGGGGAAACUCACCCGGCCCGGACACUGAAAGGAUUGACAGAUUGAGAGCUCUUUCUUGAUUCAGUGGGUGGUGGUGCAUGGCCGUUCUUAGUUGGUGGAGCGAUUUGUCUGGUUAAUUCCGAUAACGAACGAGACUCUAGCCUAUUAAAUAGAUCACCGGCUUAUUACGCCGGUGAGGCUUCUUAGAGGGACAGGCGGCGAUUCAGCCGCACGAAACAGAGCAAUAACAGGUCUGUGAUGCCCUUAGAUGUCCGGGGCCGCACGCGCGCUACACUGAAGUGAUCAGCGUGCUUGAAAAUCCUGCCCUGUCAAGGGUGGGUAACCCAAUGAACCUUCUUCGUGAUUGGGAUAGGAGAUUGUAAUUAUUCUCCUUGAACGAGGAAUUCCCAGUAAGCGCGAGUCAUCAGCUCGCGUCGAUUACGUCCCUGCCUCUUGUUCACACCGCCCGUCGCUACUACCGAUUGAAUGAUUUA
rnacentral:rRNA from 1 species